UUUUUUAAUUGUAUUUUUUUUUUUUCAGUAAUAUUAUGGGCUCUAUUCCUGAGAACAAAGCAAAAAAUGAAACUGUUCAGUAACAGGUGUAAUGCAGAUGGAACCUACUUUGGGAAAAGAAAAAUGAUCCUGUAUUUCACAGCUAAGCAUAAAUUUUCUGCUUUUUCAGUACCAUGCCAAGUCUUUACUCUUUGAAGAUGUCAUUAAAACCACCUCAAAGUACCUUUGCCUCACACAACGUUAUUUUUGGGAAUUGUUUAAAGUUUGGAAAUGCAGAUGAAUCUGAAUGACACACAAGCAAAAUCUGUCUGCAUUUAUAUGACAGGUGAAGUCAAAAGGAGAAAACAGUUUUGUUACUUGUGCAGAAGACCAUUCAAAAAAAGCCUUCAACACUGCUAGAAAUACUCAUGGCUUCAUUCUGAUCACAUCUACAUAACUUAAUACUUCUGUAGCUGCUACUUUUUGUUUUCUGAUUGUGUUACAGUUGCGCAACAAAACUGAAAAGAGGAAAGUAACAUUUGGGACGAAUUUCACAUCAUUAAGUUGAAGUGUAUCAUUUCCUUAAAAAAGUUAACAUGGCAAGAGAUUUAAAAUGUGUGUUAAUUAAUAGAUACAAAUUACUGUAAUCACAUCGAGAUAUAAAUUACUGUAAUCAUGUCCACUUAAAUCUUUCAGUGAUUAUAAUGCCAUCAUUUCAGUGUCAUGUUUCUAAAGAUAUUAAUUCUUUGUUGAGAGUAGUUUUUGAAUUGGUGUAACUGUAUAUCUGAAAGCCCAUUGCUCCUGAGAGACACAGAUUUCACUUUCAGUGGUGGAAAACAUUCAUAA